rnacentral:rRNA from 1 species
UACAGAGGGUGCGAGCGUUAAUCGGAAUUACUGGGCGUAAAGCGCGCGAGGCGGCCUUGCAAGUCGGGUGUGAAAUCCCCAGGCUUAACCUGGGAACUGCAUUCGAGACUGCAUUGCUAGAGUAUGGGAGAGGGAAGUGGAAUUUCCGGUGUAGCGGUGAAAUGCGUAGAUAUCGUAAGGAAGACCAGUGGCGAAGGCGAAUCUCUGGACAGUUACUGACACUGAGGCACGAAGGCCAGGGGAGCAAACGGG